AGGGUAAUAGCUCAGUGGUAGAGUGCAUGCUUAGCAUGCAAGAAGUCUUAGGUUCAAUCCCUAUUACCUCC
rnacentral:tRNA from 1 species